GGAGUCUUGCUCUGUCCCCCAGGCUGGAGUGCAGUGGCACCAUCUCAGCUGAAUGCAACCUCUGCCUCCCGGGUUCAAGAGAUUCUCCUGCCUCAGCCUCCCAAGUAGCUGGGAUUACAGAAAGCAAAAGAUUCUUCAAAAUCAAAGUUGCUAGUAACACAAUAACAAAGCUGCUUUAUUUUCCAGUGAAGAUGUAUGUGAUAGUGAGUGGAGGAAGAAAAAGGCCAGAAAAUUCCAUAGUUAGCAAAUAUAUCUUUCUUACCUUUCUUACUUAAAAUUCUUUUUCCAACAUGAAACUUCUAAAGAGUUACUGAGAAAUUAGGUGAGCUCACCUCACUUAAUGCAAUAGAUAUGUUUCUGAAAAUAAGCAAUACAUACGACAUUGGCCAAUUAAGAAUUUUGAUGAAGAAGAAUUUUCACAUCCGAAAGAGUAAAAAAGAAAAACGGUACAAAUGUAGUGGCUUUUAAAUUUCAAAACAAAUUAUUUUGAUAAGAUAAAUAUUCCUCUCAUAAAGUGAAAAUGGAAGAGACUGCUUGCUGGGUGUUCGUCAAAAUGGAGUUAGAUGGUCUGUCCCAGACUCCCCUGUUGUUAGUUCUGAGAACAGAUGUAACGGUGCUUCUUCAGGACUGGCUCAUAGAAACCUGCCAUGUUCAGCCCCCACAAUCCUCUCCCUUCUGCUGGCUGGAAACAAAUGACAACGAAGCCUCACAUCUUGGAGAAACCACACUGUUGAGGAACUCAAGUCCUUGAAGAACCAUUUGAAGAGACCCACCUCACUAAAGAAAAUCACACAAGCAAGAAGUAAACUUCAUUGUAUCUAUGUAUUUAACUGUCAUAACAGUCUACCUUAACUGAUAAAGCAAAAAUUCGCUCCUUUUCCGGACACCCAGUUUCAAAA
rnacentral:lncRNA from 1 species